rnacentral:rRNA from 1 species
AACGAACGCUGGCGGCGUGCUUAACACAUGCAAGUCGAACGGGAUCCAGGGCUUCGGCUUUGGUGAGAGUGGCGAACGGGUGAGUAACACGUGGGUGACCUGCCCUCAGCUCUGGGAUAAGCCUGGGAAACCGGGUCUAAUACUGGAUAUGACUCCAUGACGCAUGUUGUGGGGUGGAAAGCCUUGUGCGGCUGAGGAUGGGGCCCGCGGCCUAUCAGCUUGUUGGUGGGGUGAUGGCCUACCAAGGCGA